AUCGUUGUUUAAAGAAUAAAUUUAUCAUAAUUUUAAAAUAAUUUACAGAAUUUUAUAAAUUAUUAAUAAAAUUAAAUUUACUUUAUAUUGAAUAUUUGUUUAUUGUUAAAUAUUUUUUAAAAUUUAUUUUUGAUUUAUUUUUUCCAUCGACACUACUAAAAAGGAAAGCCCUCUAAAUACUUACCUUAUUUUGUAAUUUCGAUAUAUCAUUUAAUUCAUCGAUCCCACUAUAAUAGGAAAGUACCUUUGAAUACUAAUUGCAAGGGAAAACAUAAUUUAAUGACCAAUUAACAUCACUUUUCAAAUGACUUACAUAACAUUAUUAAUAACUAUUUAUGGUAACUAAUUGUCGAAAGUAUGGUAUAUAAAUCCAUUUUAUUAAUUCAAAUAAAUAUUUUGGAUUCCAAAUGACUUACAUAAUAUUAUUAAUAACUAUCUAUGGUAACUAAUUGUCGAAAGUAUGGUAUAUAAAGUCAUUUUAUCAAUUCAAGUAAAUAUUUUGGUUUAUUAUUUUAUGUAGUCUAUAGAUAUAUUAGAAUAUAAAGUCAUUUUUUCAAAUCAAAUAAUUUAUUUUAAUUCAUCGAUCCCCUAUAAAAGGAAAAUAACAUUGAAUACUGAUUGAAAAUGAAAAAAUAAUUUAAUCCCUCUAUUAACAUUACUUGCGCAACAAUAUUAGUUAAUACAUGUAAUAAUUAGUUUCCUUAUUACAAAUGGAAAGAAUUCUCUUGAUUUUGUUGAUUGAUUUUUUAGAAUUUCUUUUUCGAUUUAUUUUAAUCAUCGACACUACUAAAAAUGAAAUCACUUUAAUACUUAACUUUUGUGUUUUCUCGAUUCAAAGAACAUCUUUUUGCGAUCAUUUCUCUGUUUAAUUCAUUAAAUACUCACUAAAUAUUUUAGAUGUUAGAGAAACGAAAUUAAUUGACAAGAUAUUUUCUCUCCUAAAAUCAUGCAUUUAAAACUUAAUAUUUUGGUGAGACUUGUCAACCAAAAUUCUGGUGCAAUCUAUUCACGAGAUGUUCUCCUUUAGCUUUAUUAACAAGAUAUUCCAAAAAUAAUAUUACCUUAUAAGUAUAAGAUUUAUUGAGAAUUUAUUAAAGAAUAUUCUACUUCUUAGCUUAUCAUGCAAGCUAAAUCAAUGAGAAACGUCUACCAAUUUACUAUAAAUAAGACAUUCACAGUAGAAGAAACGAAAUAAUUGAACUUUGUAUUCUGAACUUUUAAUGUUAAUAAUGUUCUGAAUUUUUUUUCUUCUUAUUUUAGAACAUUAAGCUUUUAUAUUUCAUGAGAGCUGAAUUUUUUUUUGGUUUAUAUGCAAAUACCCUAUUAUGACGAUUUCUCCACUGAAGCUAUAUAUGAUUUGAUUGUACACCUCUUUGAUAUAUCAUUUCGAUAACAUCUUUGUUCCUCAAUCUGAGAUGAUUUGAGAGAAGUGGUCAUAUUUCAGACCUCUAAGAGUUCCCCAUUCCGAUCCUGCAAAAGAUGUGCACUUAGAAUGGCUUGAGUUUAUCAGAAGAUCAAAUUAAGAGUUUAUCUUUGGCGGAGAUUGAAUCAAUCAUGCGUUUGAACGGAAGCUCAUUUACAUUGUUUAAGUUUUGAAACGUGUUAUCAAUAGUAUACUCUUCUAUUGGUUAAGAUGUGGUUUUUGUUAGAUUUUCUAUUAAUUAAUUUUUUUGUUUUACUUUUGUGGAAUUCGCGAUAUUGUAAUGUUGUAAAUCAAAAAUAAAGAUAUUUUUCUCACUAUUAAUAGGUGAGAGAGAGAGGGAGGGAGAGAGAGGGAGGGAGAGGAGGGACGGAGAGAGAGGGGAGGGAGAGAGAGGGAGGGAGAGGGAGGGACGGAGAGAGAGAG